AGAAUAGAUUAAUGUAAUUCGCUCUGGAUAAGAGCAUCUGCUAAAUGAUUAAAA
rfam:Salmo salar isolate Sally breed double haploid chromosome ssa08, whole genome shotgun sequence.